rnacentral:rRNA from 1 species
AUAUUGGACAAUGGGCGAAAGCCUGAUCCAGCCAUGCCGCGUGUGUGAAGAAGGUCUUCGGAUUGUAGAGCACUUCAAGUUGGGAGGAAGAGUUGUAGGCUAAUACCUUGCAAUUUUGACCUUCCCAACAGACUAAGCACCGCCUAACUUCGUGCCACCAGCCGCGGUAAUACGAAGGGUGCAAGCGUUAAUCGGAAUUACUUGGCGUAAAGCGCGCGGAGGUGGUUCGUUAAGUUGAAAGUGAAAGCCCCGGGCUUAACCUGGGAAUUGCUUUCAAAACUGACGAGCUAGAGUACGGUAGAGGGUAGUGGAAUUUCCUGUGUAGCGGUGAAAUGCGUAGAUAUAGGAAGGAACAUCAGUGGCGAAGGCGACUACCUGGACUGAUACUGACACUGAGGUGCGAAAGCGUGGGGAGCAAACAGG